rnacentral:rRNA from 1 species
UUGGUGGGGUAAUGGCCNACCAAGCCUACAAUCCAUACCUGGUUUGAGAGGAUGAUCAGCCACACUGGGACUGAGACACGGCCCANACUCCUACGGGAGGCAGCAGUGGGGAAUCUUAGACAAUGGGGGCAACCCUGAUCUAGCCAUGCCGCGUGAGUGAUGAAGGCCUUAGGGUUGUAAAGCUCUUUCAGCUGGGAAGAUAAUGACGGUACCAGCAGAAGAAGCCCCGGCUAACUCCGUGCCAGCAGCCGCGGUAAUACGGAGGGGGCUAGCGUUGUUCGGAAUUACUGGGCGUAAAGCGCACGUAGGCGGACUGAAAAGUUGGAGGUGAAAUCCCAGGGCUCAACCUUGGAACUGCCUUCAAAACUAUCAGUCUGGAGUUCNAGAGAGGUGAGUGGAAUUCCNAGUGUANAGGUGAAAUUCNUAGAUAUUCGGAGGAACACCANUGGCGAAGGCGGCUCACUGGCUCNAUACUGACNCUNANGUGCNAAAGCNUGNGG